GGUGAGAUGGCCGAGCGGUCUAAGGCGCCAGACUAAGGAUCAGCUUCGAGUUGAAGCACCUGCUGUUCAGUUAAUACUGUGUAAUCUGGUCCUCCGGGGCGUGGGUUCGAAUCCCACUCUCAUCA